rnacentral:rRNA from 1 species
UGGGGAAUUUUGCACAAUGGGGGAAACCCUGAUGCAGCGACGCCGCGUGAUUUAGAAGGCCUUCGGGUUGUAAAAAUCUUUUCUAUGGGAAGAAAAUGACAGUACCAUAGGAAUAAGGACCGGCUAAUUCCGUGCCAGCAGCCGCGGUAAUACGUAAGGUCCGAGCGUUGUCCGGAAUCAUUGGGCGUAAAGGGUACGUAGGCGGGUAAGCAAGUUAGAAGUGAAAUCCUAUAGCUCAACUAAAGUAAGCUUUUAAAACUGCUCAUCUUGAGGUAUGGAAGGGAAAGUGGAAUUCCUAGUGUAGCGGUGAAAUGCGCAGAUAUUAGGAGGAAUACCGGUGGCGAAGGCGACUUUCUGGCCAUAACCUGACGCUGAGGUACGAAAGCGUGGGUAGCAAACAGG